UUUUUUUUUUUUUGGCUCGCCGCAGGUCUGGUCUCGCCAGUCAGCGACUAGCGCUCGCCUGGCCACUGCCUCGCCCUAGCUGCUUCACCGGAGUGCGCCAGGGGAGGCGCGACGUGCGACCAAAAAUUUAGGUGCUCUCUCUCUCUCUCUCGAAAAGUUUUAAGGCCUUAUCCUCUAAAAAAUUCCUUAUCCUUUAUAGAAAUACUAUAAAAGAUUUAAUCAUCUAUAUCUUCUCCAUCUUAAACAACGUCCCCUAAAUUUAAUCAUAUAUAUCUCCGAAAUUAACCUAGAAUAUUUAUUCUCUCUUUUCAUAUAAUAUGGUCCUCUAUUUUUUAUCUUGUACAGUAUGGCCACGGUAUAUUACAUUAAAAUUUGGAAACAUAUUUUAUUUGCAGGCUAAAAUAUGCGGCUAGUCAAUUUCCCAGCUAGAUCUCGUCCUCUGCACGUGUGUGUUCGGCGUGGG
rnacentral:lncRNA from 1 species